rnacentral:rRNA from 1 species
AUUGAACGCUGGCGGCAUGCCUUACACAUGCAAGUCGAACGGUAGCACGGGUGCUUGCACCUGGUGGCGAGUGGCGAACGGGUGAGUAAUACAUCGGAACGUACCUUAUCGCGGGGGAUAACAAAUUGAAAAAUUUGCUAAUACCGCAUAAUACUCUGAGGAGGAAAGCGGGGGAUUCGUAAGAACAUCAUGCGAUUAGAGCGGCCGAUGGCUGAUUAGCUAGUUGGUGAGGUAAAGGCCCACCAAGGCAACGAUCAGUAGCAGGUCUGAGAGGAUAAUCUGCGACACUGGAACUGAGAAACGGUCCAGACUCCUACGGGAGGCAGCAGUGGGGAAUUUUGGACAAUGGGGGCAACCCUGAUCCAGCAAUGCCGCGUGAGUGAAGAAGGCCUUCGGGUUGUAAAGCUCUUUUGUCAGUGAAGAAAACUUUAAUAAUAACACUAUUAAAGCAUGACGGUAACUGAAGAAUAAGGACCGGCUAACUACGUGCCAGCCGCCGCAGUAA